GAUGAAGAACGUAGCGAAAUGCGAUAAGUAAUGCGAAUUGCAGAAUUCAGUGAGUCAUCGAAUCUUUGAACGCACAUUGCGCCCUGUGGUAUUCCGCAGGGCAUGCCUGUUCGAGCGUCAUUUCAACCCUCAAGCCCUGCUUGGUGUUGGGCCCUGCCCGCUGCGGCCGGCCCUAAAGACAGUGGCGGUGCCGCCUGGCCCUGAGCGUAGUACAUCUCUCGCUCCAGUGCCCGGUGGUAGCCUGCCAGAACCCCAACUCUCGUGGUUGACCUCGGAUCAGGUAGGGAUACCCGCUGAACUUAAGCAUAUCAAUAAGCGGAGGA
rnacentral:misc_RNA from 1 species